rnacentral:rRNA from 1 species
GUGGGGAAUUUUGGACAAUGGGCGCAAGCCUGAUCCAGCAAUGCCGCGUGCAGGAAGAAGGCCUUCGGGUUGUAAACUGCUUUUGUACGGAACGAAACGGUCCGGGUUAAUACCCUGGGCUAAUGACGGUACCGUAAGAAUAAGCACCGGCUAACUACGUGCCAGCAGCCGCGGUAAUACGUAGGGUGCAAGCGUUAAUCGGAAUUACUGGGCGUAAAGCGUGCGCAGGCGGUUUUGUAAGACAGGCGUGAAAUCCCCGGGCUCAACCUGGGAAUUGCGCUGGUGACUGCAGUGCUGGAGUGCGGCAGAGGGGGAGGGAAUUGCGCGUGUAGCAGUGAAAUGCGUAGAUAUGCGGAGGAACACCGAUGGCGAAGGCAAUCCCCUGGGCCUGCACUGACGCUCAUGCACGAAAGCGUGGGGAGCAAACAGGAUUAGAUACCCGGGUAGUCC